rnacentral:rRNA from 1 species
CCUACGGGAGGCAGCAGUGAGGAAUAUUGGUCAAUGGGAGAGAUCCUGAACCAGCCAAGCCGCGUGAGGGAAGACGGCCCUAUGGGUUGUAAACCUCUGUUGUCGGAGAACAAAACCCGGGACGAGUCCCGGACUGCGUGUAUCCGAAGAAAAAGCAUCGGCUAACUCCGUGCCAGCAGCCGCGGUAAUACGGAGGAUGCGAGCGUUAUCCGGAUUUAUUGGGUGUAAAGGGUGCGUAGGCGGUCUGUUAAGUCAGCGGGAAAAUUGCGGGGCUCAACCCCGUCGAGCCGUUGAUACUGGCAGACUUGAGUUGGCGAGAGGUACGCGGAAUGCGCGGUGUAGCGGUGAAAUGCAUAGAUAUCGCGAAGAACUCGGGUUGCGAAGGCAGCGUACCGGCGCCAGACUGACGCUGAGGCACGAAAGCGUGGGGAUCGAAAAGGAUUAGAUACCCCUGUAGUC